GAUGAACGCUGGCGGCGUGCCUAAUACAUGCAAGUCGAGCGAACGGACGAGAAGCUUGCUUCUCUGAUGUUAGCGGCGGACGGGUGAGUAACAUGUGGAUAACCUACCUAUAAGACUGGGAUAACUUCGGGAAACCGUAGCUAAUACCGGAUAAUAUUUUGAACCGCAUGGUUCAAAAGUGAAAGACGGUCUUGCUGUCACUUAUAGAUGGAUCCGCGCUGCAUUAGCUAGUUGGUAAGGUAACGGCUUACCAAGGCAACGAUGCAUAGCCGACCUGAGAGGGUGAUCAGCCACACUGGAACUGAGACACGGUCCAGACUCCUACGGGAGGCAGCAGUAGGGAAUCUUCCGCAAUGGGCGAAAGCCUGACGGAGCAACGCCGCGUGAGUGAUGAAGGUCUUCGGAUCGUAAAACUCUGUUAUUAGGGAAGAACAUAUGUGUAAGUAACUGUGCACAUCUUGACGGUACCUAAUCAGAAAGCCACGGCUAACUACGUG
rnacentral:rRNA from 1 species